AGAGUUUGAUCAUGGCUCAGAUUGAACGCUGGCGGCAUGCCUUACACAUGCAAGUCGAACGGUAACAGGUCUUCGGAUGCUGACGAGUGGCGAACGGGUGAGUAAUACAUCGGAACGUGCCCGAUCGUGGGGGAUAGCUCGGCGAAAGCCGGAUUAAUACCGCAUACGAUCUACGGAUGAAAGCAGGGGACCGCAAGGCCUUGCGCGAACGGAGCGGCCGAUGGCAGAUUAGGUAGUUGGUGGGGUAAAGGCUCACCAAGCCGACGAUCUGUAGCUGGUCUGAGAGGACGACCAGCCACACUGGGACUGAGACACGGCCCAGACUCCUACGGGAGGCAGCAGUGGGGAAUUUUGGACAAUGGGCGCAAGCCUGAUCCAGCAAUGCCGCGUGCAGGAUGAAGGCCUUCGGGUUGUAAACUGCUUUUGUACGGAACGAAAAGGCUCUGGUUAAUACCUGGGGCUCAUGACGGUACCGUAAGAAUAAGCACCGGCUAACUACGUGCCAGCCGCCGCGGUAAUAC
rnacentral:rRNA from 1 species